GGAGGAUGACUUGAGACCAGGAGUUUGAGGCUGCAGUGAGCUGUGAUCAUACCACUGCACUCCAGCCUGGAUGACAGAGCAAGACCCUGUGUCA
rnacentral:miRNA from 1 species